rnacentral:rRNA from 1 species
GACGAACGCUGGCGGCGUGCUUAACACAUGCAAGUCGAACGGAAAGGCCCCGUUGGGGGUACUCGAGCGGGGAACGAGCGGGUAACACGUGAGUAACUUGCCCUCGACUUCGGGAGAACUUCAGUAAACAGGGGGGAAUACAUGAUGGGAAUGCUUGCUUGAUGGAUGGGGGUGGAAAGCAUCGGGGGUUUGGGGUGGACUGGCGGCGUAUCUGUCUGGUGGUGGGGGGGGUGGUUACCCAGGCAUUGAUUGGCAGGCGGCCCGGGAGGGGGAGCGGCCCCAAUGGGACUGGGAUACCGGCCAGACUUCCACCGGGGGCAGCAGUUGGGAAUAUUGCACAAUGGGCCGGAGCCCGAUGCAGCAAAGCCGCGUGCGGGAAGAAGGGCUUCGGGUUGUAAACCGCUUUCAGCAGGGGAGAAGCUUGUGGUGACGGUAACUGGAGAAGAAGCACCGGCUAACUACGUG